GCGCGGCGCGGCGCUGAGUGGGCCGACAUGGCGGGCACCGGGAUGGCGGCGGCGGCGGGAGGGACGGGGGCCUGCGCCCGCGGCGCUGUGCUGUGCUGGCAGGGCCGGGGGCCUCCUCACAGCGAGCUCCCCGCUGGGAGAGGACGCAUGGAGGGCCCCGGGGGCCCUCAGCCGCGUGUAAAAGGGGAAGGAGGCAGGCAGGCAGGCGGGUGGCCGCCGCCUGGAGUGCCUUGUUGUGUGUGCGCUGUGCCUUGGUAACCUGCUGCUGCUGCUGGGUGUGGGCUCGGGCCUGGGCCGGGGUGGGUGGCUUCUGGCUUCCACGUACGGACUGCUCGUUUCCUGACUUCUUGUUAACAACUCUUUCGUUUGGGGGAUACUUCAUCUAAUCCAGUGGCAAAAUCCAAACAGUAAGGAUCUUCUCUGCGUAAUCUUCUUCUAGCCUUGCAAAGGUUGGUCUGUGCAUGGUCCUGCUUUAUUUAAGUGCCUGGAAGACUCUGUGGAAUCAGGACCUGGUGUGUUAUCUGGCAUGAAAUGUAAACAAAGGGUUGUAAUUAAAAGUGCAUUAGGCAGAAGGUUGUUUGAAGCAGAUAUGAAGAUAUAAUGGAACCUGAAGAAGUGAAUGCUCUAUUAAAAAAAAAAUGAAGAUUUAAAAAUGUUUAUAUUUAUGCUUUUCAAGUAAAAGACAGUGAAAUCUUGCUUUUAAGUUCAUACCAGUUCAGAAACCAAGUCUGAGUAUGUAUAUAUGUACAUGUGUAAAUACAUACAAAAAUAAAGAGAUCUUGUAGUAGUAA